rnacentral:pre_miRNA from 1 species
GUUCCCCUGAGCACUUCACCGGAGAUAUAUAUAUAUAUAUAUAUCAAUCUCGCUGAAGUGUUUGGGGGAACUC